rnacentral:lncRNA from 10 species
GGAAAACAUACAGAACACUCUAUUUAUAAUUCCAGGGGUUGGCAAGGUAUUUAAUGAAGCACCGAGAGUUCUCAGUAGCCACCACCUCCCACGCCGUCCUCCUGUCUGCGGGCUUGCAUCUAGCCACCAGUGCUGAAAUAGUGCCUGUCCCAUAGAACCAUCACCCCUCAGAACUGAGCCUGGAUGUCAGCCGUGGCCAUGAUGGCUCCGUCUCAUUCUGUCACAGAUCGUCUUUAUAAGCCAGACAUUUCAGUGCUAUAAACUGAUGAGACACCCACAGAAUUUAACAGAAAUCGAAGGUGUGGAAAGGAUCUCAGACAAGCGAAUCCAUCACUGUUACUGUACAGAUAAGAAAUGGAGGCCAAAUAGGAUUAGCAACUUGCUCAGGACUCCACAGAAAGAGCAGCAACUGGAUGGCACAGAAUGAGUUCUGACGUUUACAUCAGAAGAUGGCCCUGAACCGGAGCCAAAGCUGGCCGAGGAGCUGGGGGAGAUUCUGAGACUCACACUUUCAUUUGUGAAGUGAGAUGCUGACUCUAUUGUUGGUUUUGUUUGGGGGUUUGAUGCUGAAAUAAAGCAAUACACACGAGGAAAUUUACUGGCAUUGUAUUAAAAAACAAAGUUAAUGUAUGAUGAUGCCGUAGAGUGAUUCAUGAAUGGCAUUAUGAAUAUUUUAAAAACACAAAAGGAAUUAAAAGAGUAUACUUGG